GGGACACGUGGUAUCCUGUCUGAAUAUGGGGGGACCAUCCUCCAAGGCUAAAUACUCCUGACUGACCGAUAGUGAACCAGUACCGUGAGGGAAAGGCGAAAAGAACCCCGGCGAGGGGAGUGAAAAAGAACCUGAAACCGUGUACGUACAAGCAGUGGGAGCACGCUUAGGCGUGUGACUGCGUACCUUUUGUAUAAUGGGUCAGCGACUUAUAUUCUGUAGCAAGGUUAACCGAAUAGGGGAGCCGAAGGGAAACCGAGUCUUAACUGGGCGUUAAGUUGCAGGGUAUAGACCCGAAACCCGGUGAUCUAGCCAUGGGCAGGUUGAAGGUUGGGUAACACUAACUGGAGGACCGAACCGACUAAUGUUGAAAAAUUAGCGGAUGACUUGUGGCUGGGGGUGAAAGGCCAAUCAAACCGGGAGAUAGCUGGUUCUCCCCGAAAGCUAUUUAGGUAGCGCCUCGUGAAUUCAUCUCCGGGGGUAGAGCACUGUUUCGGCAAGGGGGUCAUCCCGACUUACCAACCCGAUGCAAACUGCGAAUACCGGAGAAUGUUAUCACGGGAGACACACGGCGGGUGCUAACGUCCGUCGUGAAGAGGGAAACAACCCAGACCGCCAGCUAAGGUCCCAAAGUCAUGGUUAAGUGGGAAACGAUGUGGGAAGGCCCAGACAGCCAGGAUGUUGGCUUAGAAGCAGCCAUCAUUUAAAGAAAGCGUAAUAGCUCACUGGUCGAGUCGGCCUGCGCGGAAGAUGUAACGGGGCUAAACCAUGCACCGAAGCUGCGGCAGCGACGCUUAUGCGUUGUUGGGUAGGGGAGCGUUCUGUAAGCCUGCGAAGGUGUGCUGUGAGGCAUGCUGGAGGUAUCAGAAGUGCGAAUGCUGACAUAAGUAACGAUAAAGCGGGUGAAAAGCCCGCUCGCCGGAAGACCAAGGGUUCCUGUCCAACGUUAAUCGGGGCAGGGUGAGUCGACCCCUAAGGCGAGGCCGAAAGGCGUAGUCGAUGGGAAACAGGUUAAUAUUCCUGUACUUGGUGUUACUGCGAAGGGGGGACGGAGAAGGCUAUGU
rnacentral:rRNA from 1 species